CCAUUACCCACAUCUUUAUCGUGAAAUGGUAUUGAGUAUUUAGUUUAUAUAUAAUGGACAUUAUAAAAAUAUUUCAAAGUUUAAGGGUUAAUAAUUUUUUCGAUGUCAUCCUAAAUACAUAUAUAUAUUGCUUAAAUUUCACUUUUCUUGCAUUUGCCGUGUGGACUCUAUCGUUCUUUCAACAGACAGAGGGAUGUACAAGGCACUUUGUGUUAUUCCGAAUUGCAGGGUUCUUUAACCAUGAUGGAUUUUAUUAAUAAAUUUCAACAUUACAAUUAUAAACAGAUACAUAUAUGUAUAUGAUCUUCAGCAAGUGUAUAAAACCCAAGUAACAUGUAAUAUAAUUUAGAGUAUUUUUAUGUAUUUUGCAUCGAUUUGUUGCCCUUAUCCAACUUGUGAGAAAAUAUGAAAUUUUUUAUAUUUAUUCUUGUAGCUGUAUACAUUGUUGCCGGUGUUGUGGGUGCUCCAAAACGAUGCUUAGUAAACUCUGGUUAUAUAACCUGGAUUGAUUAAAAACCAAAAUAAUCUAUAAAAAUUUAAACAGUCGUUUAUUAAAACUCAAACAAACAAUUUUUGUAAAUAUGUUAAAUAAAAUGAAUAAAAGUUAAAUGAAAAUAUA